AGAGAGAGGGAGAAAAUGCGUUCGAACGAGUGCGAGAGAGAGAGAGAGAGAGAGAGAGCGUGAACGAGAUGAGCGCGAGAGCGGAGAUGAAUUUUCUAAGGUGUAGAACAGGAAGGCUUACCUAUCGCACAGCUGUCGUAAGGUCAGAUCAGCAUGUAUACCUUUAGAACGUAAGAGCGUAGUUGAUUAGCGCAUAGGCUAGGCUAGGGUCCGCCCUUGUAUAGGAACCUCUUUGUUGAUACUUAGAGAGCUGCGAAACCGGUGAGAUCGUUCGGGAUCGAACCUCGUCGAAACUCUGCUACGAGGGUUUGGAACGAGCCGAGAACGAGAACGGGUACGGCGGGAGGAUAGCGAGAGAAAUGGCAUAAUGGAGCAUCGAGAAGCAACGAGAUACGGUGCAAUAGCGAGGCUCGCGAUUAUACUCGAGACACGUGCGCGACGCGACGCGGCCUCCUCGAACGUUAUCGUUUUCCUUCGCUCGUAGCGCACGAGUAGACCAUUGUAAAUUUUCUUUGUUCAAAUAAUAUUUAUUGCGCCGUGCGAGUCAACGCGACGUUUUAAGUGUAAAAUAUUGUCAUUACUAUCGCUCGGAUUAUCGCGAUAUACCGUGUAUAUUGAUUACGAUUACGAUUAUUCUCUAUACAAUUACGAAGAAAACGAAUGGAAAACGCAGCAGAGAGAAAUAUUGGAUAGGGGGGGCUCCCUGCGCCAGAAAUCCCAUCGUCUCUCGGCUAACGUGCGUGCUUUUCUGCUUGGCCCGAAAAUUCGAAAGGAAGGGGACGAAAGACGGCGAGAUGACAGAAAGCUUGGACAAGCACGAUCGCCCGCGCGUGCGCGAGAACGCGAGAAGGAAGCUGGUGGCUUCGCGAGCGAGAAAGAAAAAGUGAGGCGAUGAUUGUGCGCGCGUUCGAGGACGAGUAAGCGCGGUUUUGGAGCGGAACACACUUGUAUACGUAUUUCUUGUAAACUCUAAUUCUUCCAUCGCGGACUUUAAAAGUAUUUAUCGAUAUAACGAUAAUAUUAAUAUUAUUAUUGUAAUUAUAUACGACUGCUGAGAGUGUGGCGUGGGGAUACGAGAGAUCCGCGCGAUUGCGAUACACGGCACAUGCGCGUGAACGAACGCGCAGCGCGUGCGCACUCGCGGAUACGAGAUACGAGAAACGAGAAAUAGCCAACCGUGCGAAAAAUACGCUCGAAAAGUACCUACCUACUUACAAAUGCGCAACCACAAAGAUAUGCAUCAUGUAUACGCGAUUCUUGAAACCAUUUUACCAGAUUUGUCAUUAUUUAAUUAUUUCGGUUGUAUUUUAAAAUGCAAUUAAAGCUCAAAUAAAUAUAUAUGUUAUAAAGUAAA